GACGAACGCUGGCGGCGUGCUUAACACAUGCAAGUCGAACGGAAAGGCCCUGCUUUUGUGGGGUGCUCGAGUGGCGAACGGGUGAGUAACACGUGAGUAACCUGCCCUUGACUUUGGGAUAACUUCAGGAAACUGGGGCUAAUACCGGAUAGGAGCUCCUGCUGCAUGGUGGGGGUUGGAAAGUUUCGGCGGUUGGGGAUGGACUCGCGGCUUAUCAGCUUGUUGGUGGGGUAGUGGCUUACCAAGGCUUUGACGGGUAGCCGGCCUGAGAGGGUGACCGGCCACAUUGGGACUGAGAUACGGCCCAGACUCCUACGGGAGGCAGCAGUGGGGAAUAUUGCACAAUGGGCGGAAGCCGGAUGCAGCAACGCCGCGUGCGGGAUGACGGCCUUCGGGUUGUAAACCGCUUUCGCCUGUGACGAAGCGUGAGUGACGGUAAUGGGGAAAGAAGCACCGGCGAACUACGU
rnacentral:rRNA from 1 species